rnacentral:rRNA from 1 species
CCUACGGGUGGCUGCAGUGGGGAAUAUUGGGCAAUGGAGGAAACUCUGACCCAGCAAUGCCGCGUGAAUGAAGAAUGUCUUCGGAUUGUAAAGUUCUUUAGUCAGGGAAGAAGUCAAUGACGGUACCUGAAUAAUAAGCUCCGGCUAACUACGUGCCAGCAGCCGCUGUAAUACGGAGGGAGCAAGCGUUGUUCGGAAUGACUGGGCGUAAAGGUUGCGUAGGCGGUUGUACAAAUUAGAAGGGAAAUACCCAGGGCUUAACUCGUGUGCUGCUUCUAAAACUGUAUGACUUGAGUGCAGUAGAGGUUAGUGGAAUUCCUAGUGUAGCGGUGGAAUGCGUAGAUAUUAGGAGGAACACCAGAGGCGAAGGCGGCUAACUGGACUGCAACUGACACUGAGGCACGAAAGUGUGGGGAGCAAACAGGAUUAGAUACCCCUGUAGUC